rnacentral:rRNA from 1 species
CGGCGCGUCUUAAGCAUGCAAGUCGAGCGGCAGGCAGCAAUGCCGAGAGCGGCGGACUGGUGAGUAACACGUGGAUAACGUACCCCGAUGUCCGGGACAGCCUGUAGAAAUAGAGGGUAAUACCGGAUAGAUCACUGUUUACGUGAGGUAGACAGCGGGAAAGGAGCUUCGGCUCCGCGCCGGGAUCGGUCUGCGGCCCAUCAGCUAGACGGCGGGGUAAAGGCCCGCCGUGGCGAGGACGGGUAUCCGGCCUGAGAGGGCGGACGGACACAUUGGGACUGAGAUACGGCCCAGACUCCUACGGGAGGCAGCAGGUAAGAAUAUUCCGCAAUGGGGGGAACCCUGACGGAGCGACGCCGCGUGAACGAAGAAGGCCGGAAGGUUGUAAAGUUCUUUUCUGUCCGAGGAAUAAGUGUAGGAGGAAAUGCCUGCAUGGUGACGGUAGGGCAGGAAUAAGCACCGGCU